rnacentral:rRNA from 1 species
AUGAUGAGAACAGAGCCAGUACACUGGGCAAGGGCAUUUUUUCCAGUGGGUUCCAAAUGUGAAUCAGUUGACAAUAAUCUUUGUGAAUCUUUUAAUCAUGCAAUUGUUGAAGCAAGGUUUUAUCCACUAAUUUCAAUGCAAGAAAAAAUCAAGAAAAAGAUAUUUGUUAGAUUUCAGGAACAAAGGGCCAAAAUUCAAAAGUUUCAUGGAAAAAUAUGCCCAAGUGCUUUUAAGAAGUUGAAGAGUAGCAUAGCAAGGGCACAGUUCAUGGAGGUACUUUGGAAUGGCAAAGAUGGAUUUGAAGUCAAACGUCUCACUGGGAGAAAAAGGCAGUGA